rnacentral:rRNA from 2 species
AGCGAACGCUGGCGGCAGGCUUAACACAUGCAAGUCGAGCGGGCGUAGCAAUACGUCAGCGGCAGACGGGUGAGUAACGCGUGGGAACGUACCUUUUGGUUCGGAACAACACAGGGAAACUUGUGCUAAUACCGGAUAAGCCCUUACGGGGAAAGAUUUAUCGCCGAAAGAUCGGCCCGCGUCUGAUUAGCUAGUUGGUGAGGUAACGGCUCACCAAGGCGACGAUCAGUAGCUGGUCUGAGAGGAUGAUCAGCCACAUUGGGACUGAGACACGGCCCAAACUCCUACGGGAGGCAGCAGUGGGGAAUAUUGGACAAUGGGCGCAAGCCUGAUCCAGCCAUGCCGCGUGAGUGAUGAAGGCCCUAGGGUUGUAAAGCUCUUUUGUGCGGGAAGAUAAUGACGGUACCGCAAGAAUAAGCCCCGGCUAACUUCGUGCCAGCAGCCGCGGUAAUACGAAGGGGGCUAGCGUUGCUCGGAAUCACUGGGCGUAAAGGGUGCGUAGGCGGGUCUUUAAGUCAGGGGUGAAAUCCUGGAGCUCAACUCCAGAACUGCCUUUGAUACUGAAGAUCUUGAGUUCGGGAGAGGUGAGUGGAACUGCGAGUGUAGAGGUGAAAUUCGUAGAUAUUCGCAAGAACACCAGUGGCGAAGGCGGCUCACUGGCCCGAUACUGACGC